rnacentral:snRNA from 1 species
CAGUGUUACCACUCUUAGAAUUUGUCUAGAAGGUUUUCCAGUUUUUACUUGAAAGUUCCCCC